rnacentral:rRNA from 1 species
UACAGAGGGGGCAAGCGUUGUUCGGAAUUACUGGGCGUAAAGGGCGCGUAGGCGGCCUCCUAAGUCAGACGUGAAAUCCCUCGGCUCAACCGGGGAACUGCGUCUGAUACUGGUUGGCUUGAAUCCGGGAGAGGGAUGUGGAAUUCCAGGUGUAGCAGUGAAAUGCGUAGAUAUCUGGAGGAACACCGGUGGCGAAGGCGACAUCCUGGACCGAUAUUGACGCUGAGGCGCGAAAGCCAGGGGAGCAAACGGG